AGUAUUAAAAUAGUUUUUUUGAAAAUUUUUGGGCACUCUCUCUUUCGUCUCUCUCCCUUCGCAGAAACCAGUUUUGGCCAGCGAUCUUCGUGCUCCAGCCACGGCUAGACGCGUGACUGGUCGGAAAAUGACUAGAGGAGGCCGACGAACCACGCUUGAGCCCAACCUCGGAGAGCCCAGCCUCCUUUCGUUGUCGCGAGCUCCAUGAACCUUCGAGGGUUUCGAGUUUUCGGACACCUUUUGGGCGGUUCCGGGGGCGGUUCCGGCGACCGUUGUCGCCAAUCCAGUUCUUUGGUUGCUGAGCUCUGAAUUAUGAAAUGGUGUGAGAGCUUGUUGAGCUGAAACAGUUGAUUGUUUGAGCUUUAGCUUCAUCAAAAUGUACAGAGCGAAAUGGCUAUCGGCGGUUUGAUCUCGAACCAGAAUUAAGAUUCUUUUAUCGGCUCAGGGAAAGUAUGUCAAACAAACCACACUAUUGUGAUUCUCUUGUUCUAUCUUCAUGCAUGGAUUGCUGAAAGGUCGUUCUGAAUUUUCAUCAUCGGUAACUGUUUCACUUGCAAUGUCAUUGGCUUUGGGAGUUUCCUUAAGGAAUUCGUUUUGGUACUCAGGUUCUUUUGGACUCUCCUAGAUGAUGUCUUCUGACCCAAUUUCAAGAUAUACUUCGAAUAUAUCAGGAUUUCCUACUUCUAGCAAGUGUGUCUCAUCUGUUUGUGUGAUAAGUGGAGUGUCUGGUUUACUAGGGGCUUCAAUCGCCUUCUUCCCUUCUUCAAGUCCAGCUUUUUCUUCAUGAUCAUCUGUCAUAGAUGUCUUUUGUAGCAUGUCCUCAACACACUCUUUAGCUUCCAAGGUUGCUUCAUCAUUCUGAAUGUCAGGCCUUGCAACUAUUGUUGAGAUGGAGUAAUUUUUGGGUGUUCCGGGUACACCACGUGGCUGGUGUACCAUCCAAUAGACAGAGGACAUAUGGAAUAUUUCUAAUGCAGCCCGCCACAUGUCAUAAAAAGAAAUGCAAAGUAUUUUCUUUUGCCUUUGCGAUUGUUUCUGGUGAAACUAUGAACAAUUGGAGGUGGUUUCUACAAAGGAUAUCGGAUGUCUUGUUGGGCUUUUUUUGGAUUUUUUUUUGGAAUUAUUUGUAUGAAAUUGUAUUAACAA